rnacentral:rRNA from 1 species
GUGGGGAAUAUUGGACAAUGGGGGGAACCCUGAUCCAGCCAUGCCGCGUGUGUGAAGAAGGCCUUUUGGUUGUAAAGCACUUUAAGCGAGGAGGAGGCUACCGAGAUUAAUACUCUUGGAUAGUGGACGUUACUCGCAGAAUAAGCACCGGCUAACUCUGUGCCAGCAGCCGCGAUAAUACAGAGGGUGCAAGCGUUAAUCGGAUUUACUGGGCGUAAAGCGCGCGUAGGUGGCCAAUUAAGUCAAAUGUGAAAUCCCCGAGCUUAACUUGGGAAUUGCAUUCGAUACUGGUUGGCUAGAGUAUGGGAGAGGAUGGUAGAAUUCCAGGUGUAGCGGUGAAAUGCGUAGAGAUCUGGAGGAAUACCGAUGGCGAAGGCAGCCAUCUGGCCUAAUACUGACACUGAGGUGCGAAAGCAUGGGGAGCAAACAGGAUUAGAAACCCUAGUAGUCC